CAUAUCAAUAAGCGGAGGAAAAGAAACCAACCGGGAUUGCCUUAGUAACGGCGAGUGAAGCGGCAAAAGCUCAAAUUUGAAAUCUGGUACCUUCGGUGCCCCGAGUUGUAAUUUGUAGAAGGUAACUUUGGGGCUGGUCCUUGUCUAUGUUCCUUGGAACAGGACGUCAUAGAGGGUGAGAAUCCCGUGGCGAGGAUCCCCAGUUCUAUGUAAAGUGCUUUCGAAGAGUCGAGUUGUUUGGGAAUGCAGCUCUAAGUGGGUGGUAAAUUCCAUCUAAAGCUAAAUAUUGGCGAGAGACCGAUAGCGAACAAGUACAGUGAUGGAAAGAUGAAAAGAACUUUGAAAAGAGAGUGAAAAAGUACGUGAAAUUGUUGAAAGGGAAGGGCAUUUGAUCAGACAUGGUGUUUUGCGCCCCCUGCUCCUCGUGGGUGGGGGAAUCUCGCAGCUCACUGAUACGGCCAGCAUCAGUUUUGGCGGUAGGAUAAAUCUGCAGGAAUGUAGCUUGCUUCGGUAAGUGUUAUAGCCUGUUGAAAUACUGCCAGCCGGGACUGAGGACUGCGACUU
rnacentral:rRNA from 1 species